UUAAUUUUAAACUUUUAAAAAAUCAAAAUUUAAAUAAUUAGCAUUGAUUAAGUUUUGGAUAAUUAGGGUUAGAAAAAGUAACCUCUCUAGAGGUCUAAACACAUUCUCAGUAAUCACUCCCCUCCUUGUGCCGCCUCGCCACUACCAGAUUGCGUCACGCACGUCGCCGCUAGAGGGAGCUCUCGCGUGAACGCCGUAGUCCCUCCACUCCACGAUUCGCAGCAGCAAAAAUGACCACCGCAGCUGCUUUCUCUGGCGUUGGCAGCAACGCUGCCGACCACCGCAUCGACCUCUCCCUCGCGAGUCGCAGCAGCGCCGCCCGACCACUGCAGCCCCUCUUCCCCCGCGAUUCGAAGCGACGCCGAUCACCACAGCGCCCUUCCUCUCCUCUCAUUUCCACCUUCUUAAUCCUUUCUACUUUGUAUUCAGUGAACCAAUUCAUAUUCUUUUAGUUUUUCUUUUCUAAUUUCCUUCUUUCUCCUGCAGUUUAAUUUAAAAUUCAAUUGUUUUUUAUUGUUAAUUUUGAUAUUUUUUGUUCUGUUGUUGCUGAUGAAGAUUUAGGCAUGCCAUCAUCUUUGGAAAUUCUACACAGCAACACCAUAUAGUAUCUAAAAUUCCAAAUCUUUUAAUUACUAACUCCGACAAUGAUUUACUUGAAAGAAAAUAAACAAUACUGUUUAGUUUUAAAAAUUAUAGUACUUUGAUUAGAUGUAUGAUAUCAGAUCAUCAAAUUUUUGUAAUAAUUUUGUUGUCGUCUCUUCCUUCAAUCAACGGAUUGUAGGUCAUUGAUCUUACAAAAGUGUCACAAGAUCUUGCUUACCUUGCCAGUGAUGUAGAUUUGGUCAUCUUAGAAGGGAUGAAGCAAUGUAUCACAUAAUCAGAAGAUAUGCUCAAGGAUUCCAAGCUGCAGGAUUACAUUGAAAAAUAGAAAGUCUACUUUAAGAUGAUUGAUGAAUUUGAACUGAUAGACAAGGAAUUUGAAGAAGUUGAUGAACCGGAUGAAGUGAAAAAGACGUGAUCUAAGUGUAGCAAAUAGAAAGUUGUUCUUUGUUUAGCUAGUUGUAUAGUAAUUAUAUAACAAUUUUCUAAACAAUGUAGCCUCACCCCUCUAACAAAAUAUAGGGUUCUUGUAUUAUUUUUUGUCAUGAUGAAUUCCUGAUUCUACAGUGUUGCAAAUUGUAUGAAUAAGUUGAAUAAAUAUUAUGAUUCCUUUCAUUUCA